UGCAGUCGUACGAGAACGCUUCAGCUUGCUGAAGCUAGUAAAGUGGCGUACGGGUGAGUAACGCGUGGGUAAUCUACCUCCGAAUCGGGGAUAACUUCGCGAAAGCGGGGCUAAUACCGGAUAACAUCUGUUGGGUUCCGAUCUUUAAGAUCAAAGGUGGCCUCUACAUGUAAGCUACCGUUCGGGGAUGAGCCCGCGUACCAUUAGCUUGUUGGUGGGGUAACGGCCUACCAAAGCCGCGAUGGUUAGCUGGUCUGAGAGGAUGAUCAGCCACACUGGAACUGACACACGGUCCAGACUCCUACGGGAGGCAGCAGUGAGGAAUUUUGCGCGAUGGGGGAAACCCUGACGCAGCAACGCCGCGUGAGUGAUGAAGGCCUUCGGGUCGUAAAGCUCUGUCAAGUGGGAAGAACCUGGUCUAUG
rnacentral:rRNA from 1 species